GCGGGAAAAGGGCAAACCGGCUGAAAGGCCGGGACGCAAAGCCAGGAGGCUAAAGCGGAGGGAAACGCCGCCAUGCCCGUCCGGUUGCCGCA
rfam:Bacteroides capillosus ATCC 29799 B_capillosus-2.0.1_Cont30, whole genome shotgun sequence.